AAUCAACGCUGGCGGCGUGCCUAACACAUGCAAGUCGAACGAGAAAGUGGAGCAAUCCAUGAGUAAAGUGGCGACCGGGUGAGUAACACGUGACUAACCUGCCCUAGAGUGGGGGAUAACCUCGGGAAACCGGGGCUAAUACCGCAUAACAUCGCGAGGGGAAGAUCCUUGCGAUCAAAGGAGCAAUUCGCUCAAGGAGGGGGUCGCGGCUGAUUAGCUAGUUGGUGAGGUAACGGCUCACCAAGGCGAAGAUCAGUAGCCGGCCUGAGUGGGCGCACGGCCACACUGGAACUGAAACACGGUCCAGACUCCUACGGGAGGCAGCAGUGGGGAAUUUUGCGCAAUGGGGGAAACCCUGACGCAGCAACGCCGCGUGGAGGAUGAAGUCCCUUGGGAUGUAAACUCCUUUCGAUCGGGACGAUAAUGACGGUACCGGAAGAAGAAGCACCGGCUAACUCUGUGCCAGCAGCCGCCGUAACAC
rnacentral:rRNA from 1 species